rnacentral:rRNA from 1 species
AACGCGAAGAACCUUACCAGGUUGACACCUGACCGGUAGAGAUAGGCCUUCUGGGACAGAGGAGACAGGUGGUGCAUGGUUGGAGCGUGGUGAGAUGUUGGGUUAAGCCGCAACGAGCGCAACCCUUGAUGUUAGUUGCCAGCAGGUAGAGCUGGGCACUAACGUGACUGCCGGUGACAAACCGGAGGAAGGUGGGGAUGACGAAAAAUGCCCCUUAUGACCUGGGCUACACACGUACUACAAUGGCCAGUACAACGGGAAGCGAAACCGCGAGGUGGAGCGAACAAAAAGCUGGAGUGGAUUGCAGGCUGCAACGCCUGCAUGAAGGGAAUUGCUAGUAAGCGGAAGCAUGCCGCGGUGAAUACGUCCGGGUUGUACACACCG